GUCUACUAACUGGGUACAUUUUUUUCAAUACUGGGCCUAAUUAUUCUCCUGUACUAAGCCGUCCUUAUUUUGUUAAAAUGGCAGAGCUUGUUCCCCCACCGUCAGUUAGAGGUAUGACAAAACUCGAUCGGUCUCUUUUUAACAGCACAAUUACAGUUCCGAGCCUUCUAGUCAAGACCAAGUCGGUCGUACCCUUGAAAGAUAUUUUUAAACAAUAUUUGCUACGGUUGCGCGCUCUCGGGCCAAUCAGACCAUUCGAAGGAGACACAACCAAUGAGAUGAAAGAAGUAAUUCUUAAUCCCAAACUAGUAUCUUGCUUUACUGACAUACAACCGCCUCAUCGAGAAAAGCUCGAACAAUUUGAGGUUACUGAGUCAAAUUUCAAGACAUGUUCGUUGAAUUUGUCAUAUGAUAACUGGACUGCAGACGACAUUCUUAAAGCAGUGUUGCCACUCUCAGAGGGAGUUGAUAACAAUUUCUCUGGAUAUUCCAUGGUGGGACAUAUAGUCCAUGUGAAUCUCAAGGAACACCUUCUAGAUUACAAGUACGUCAUCGGAGAGGUUCUUCUUGACAAGCUCAAACGAGUACGAACAGUUGUAAACAAAGUAGACAACAUUGAAAAUACUUUCAGAGUCUUCAAAAUGGAGGUUUUAGCUGGAGAACCAAAUUUUGUCACUGAAGUCAAGGAAAAUUAUGUAACUUUUAAGUUUGAUUUUUCAUCUGUUUACUGGAACUCUCGACUGUCCACAGAGCAUCAGAGGAUAGUAAAUAGGUUAGAGCCAGGAAGUGUACUCUAUGAUGUAUUUGCAGGAGUAGGGCCAUUUUCAAUCCCAGCGGCUAAGAAAAAAUGUACAGUUCUAGCUAAUGAUCUCAAUCCGGAGUCUUUCAAGUGGCUGCAACACAAUGCAAAAAUCAACAAAGUUGGAAAUAACUUUAAAGCUUUCAACAAAGACGGUGCAGAUUUCAUCAAAGAGGAUAUAAAGCAACACAUUUUACAAGAGAAAGGAAAUGUGAAAUCUCACAUAGUGAUGAACUUGCCUGCUCUCGCUCACACUUUUCUUCCAUGUUUCAGGAACUUAUUUUCUGCAGAUGAUUUAGCCAGUGUGAAAUACCUUCCCUUAACUCACGUAUACUGUUUUGUCAAGGGAGUCGACAAUUAUAAAGAGAUGGCUAAAGAACUAGUUGAAAGUGAGUUGAAUUGCUCCAUCACAGAGAGUCUGGAUGAAAUUACAUUUGUACGAAAUGUUGCUCCAAAUAAAGAAAUGAUGAGGGUUUCUUUCCAACUGAAUGAGAAUAUUUUACUUGACAAGAAAAGAAUGUUAGAUUCUGAAGAAACUGGCAAACUUUACAAGAGAUCAAAAUAAAAUCAAUGUCCCUAAGUCAAAAUGGGAAAAGGAGGAAAGCAGAAAGGAGGCAAAAAUGUAUUCAAAGUUGCUGGCGCAAGGAGCCUCAAAGCCAAGAACAAGGCAAAAGCUGUCUCCACACAGUUGAAAAAACUGACAGAAGUGACAAAACAAAAAACCGUUGAAAUGGAUCAGCUUCUCAAUGAGCUUCAAGAGACAGUUAGACAAGCCCAGCCCCAGAAACAAGAAAAUAAACCUUCCCUUCCACCCAAGGAAGACUUAAAGAGCAGAAUCGAAAAGUUCAACAAAACUGAGGAAAGCUCAGCAGAAGCCUUGGACAAAUUAGGCAAAAUGGAAGUCUAAACAAAAAUUGUACAUUUGUCCGUAAUAAACCUAUUUUUAUUUUUUA